AAUGGUUUCAAUUGGCCUCCAAGCAGGGGAUCUCUAAGGCCCAGGACAAAAUGUGCCCUGGGACAAGAAGGGAGGCCACAGCUUGUUGUGUGGUUUGAGAGCCCCAGGCCCCUCUGUUCCUGUAAAUGGGUUGCCAUUCCAGCAAGGGCACCGAGGUGGUACAGGAGUGCCAGAAACCUGGAGAUCACCCUGAUGGAGGAGAGCCGAAGGUGGAGCCAGGCACCGAGGCAGCAGCGGAUGACAAGGACGCCUCACUGAAGGAAGAAGACCCUGAGCUGAAGAGCUGACUCUCUUUCUUGAGUGGACCCUCAACGUAUCCCUGGAACUGCCUUUGGCCUGUGAGGCCCCACCCUGAAGAGCUAUCCUUGGAGGGCAGAAAGAGCCCUGUUUAGGAUGUGACCUUCACAGGGCUUGCUCUCUGGCCUUGGGGAGAUGAAGGGUUAAACUUGAAGCAGUCCUAUUUCUCUAGUGCUCCGUAAAGAGGACAAAGGACUGCUUCAUUCCUCUUGGGGCCUUUCCCACAGCUUCUGGGAAGAGAAAAACACACAGAUUGAUUCCUCUGGUCCAGACUAUCUGCUUCUGGGUUGUGCACGUCCAGCCAUGCCGUCUGCUUCCCUUCCCGGGAACUCUGGAGGCUCCGUAGCCGUAACAUCGAUUGGAACUACGGAUCUGGGUUUGGUCUUAAUCUUUCUCUCCUUUUCCAACAGCCGAAUGAGCAGCCAGCAUGCCCGACAGGAAGCUUUUGCAUUUGGCUCUCUUCACCUUGUUUGCAUGAAUAAUUUAGUAUUUAACUUACAGUAUCAUUAAUGAAUUAUGGGAAUGAUCGGGAUUGGACAGGGAUUCCAUGAAUGGAUGGCAACCAGGCCUUGGGCUCACAGCAAGCAGAAGCUGAGCACUGGAGGGAGGGAAGGGGAAAUUCAAGUUUCCGGUUAUUAAAUCCUCAGAAAUGUCGUA